ACCAAACUUUGUAUCUUUCUUGAGCUUGCAACAGAAGGUUCACUUUGAAAUCUCUAGCAAAAGCAUAAACUGUCAGACUUCCAAGCCUCUAAAUACACAAGGUAGAUUGUGAAAGGUUUGAAAUAUCUACAUGAGCAUAAUGUAGUUCACAGGGAUAUCAAAUGUGCUAAUAUAUUGGUGGAUGUAAAUGGAACCGUGAAACUUGCAGAUUUUGGAUUUGCAAAGCUUUUCAAAUUGAACGAUAUAAAAUCUUGUAAAAGGACUGCAUUCUGGAUGGCCCCUAAAGUUUGCUUCCUCU